rnacentral:rRNA from 1 species
UACGUAGGUGACAAGCGUUGUCCGGAUUUACUGGGCGUAAAGAGCGCGCAGGCGGUCGAUCAAGUCGAGUGUGAAAGCCCCCGGCUCAACUGGGGAGGGUCAUUCGAUACUGAUCGACUCGAAGGCAGGAGAGGGUAGUGGAAUUCCCGGUGUAGUGGUGAAAUGCGUAGAUAUCGGGAGGAACGCCAGUGGCGAAGGCGACUACCUGGCCUGUCUUGACGCUGAGGCGCGAAAGCUAGGGGAG